rnacentral:rRNA from 1 species
UACGUAGGGGGCUAGCGUUGUCCGGAAUCAUUGGGCGUAAAGCGCGUGUAGGCGGUUCGGUAAGUCCGCUGUGAAAGUCGGGGGCUCAACCCUCGAAUGCCGGUGGAUACUGUCGGACUAGAGUCCGGAAGAGGCGAGUGGAAUUCCCGGUGUAGCGGUGAAAUGCGCAGAUAUCGGGAGGAACACCAAUGGCGAAGGCAGCUCGCUGGGACGGUACUGACGCUGAGGCGCGAAAGCGUGGGGAGCAAACAGG